rnacentral:miRNA from 1 species
UUGGGGAAAAAGAAGAGUUCAC